ACUAGCUCAGUAACACGUGGAUCAUUCCUGCCCAAGGGUCUGGGAUAACCCCGGGAAACUGGGGAUAAUACCGGAUGGAUCACUAGUGCUGGAAUGCUUGGUGGUCGAAAGGUAACGCCUUUGGAUGGGUCUGCGGCGGAUUAGGUUGACGCCGGUGUAACGUACCGGCGUGCCUGUAAUCCGUACGGGUUGUGGGAGCAAGAGCCCGGAGAUGGAUUCUGAGACACGAAUCCAGGCCCUACGGGGCGCAGCAGGCGCGAAAACUCUACAAUGCAGGCAACUGCGAUAGGGGGACAUCGAGUGGCAUCCACCUUGGGUGCCUGUCCAACCGUCUAAAAAACGGUUGUUAGCAAGGGCCGGGUAAGACCGGUGCCAGCCGCCGCGGUAAUACCGGCGGCUCGAGUGGUGGCCGAUAUUAUUGAGUCUAAAGGGUCCGUAGCCGGCUUUGCAAGUCCCCUGGGAAAUCCAGCGGCUUAACCGUUGGGCUUUCAUGGGAUACUACAUUGCUUGGGACUGGGAGAGGUAGGAGGUACUCGGGGGGUAGGGGUGAAAUCCUGUAAUCCUCCGGGGACCACCGGUGGCGAAGGCGUCCUACCAGAACAGGUCCGACGGUGAGGGACGAAAGCUAGGGGCACGAACCUGAUUAGAUACCCGGGUAGUCCUAGCCGUAAACGAUGCCCGCUAGGUGUCACGACGGUCGUGAAUCGUCGUGGUGCCGUAAGGGAAGCCGCGAAGCGGGCCACUUGUGGAAGUACGGCCCGCAAGGCUGAUACUUAAAGGGAUAUGGCCGGUGGUAGCCAC
rnacentral:rRNA from 1 species